UACGGAGGGUGCAAGCGUUAUCCGGAUUCACUGGGUUUAAAGGGUGCGUAGGUGGGCAGGUAAGUCAGUGGUGAAAUCUCCGGGCUUAACCCGGAAACUGCCAUUGAUACUAUCAGUCUUGAAUACCGUGGAGGUAAGCGGAAUAUGUCAUGUAGCGGUGAAAUGCUUAGAUAUGACAUAGAACACCAAUUGCGAAGGCAGCUUACUACGGGAACAUUGACACUGAGGCACGAAAGCGUGGGGAUCAAACAGG
rnacentral:rRNA from 1 species